AACGAACGCUGGCGGCAUGCCUAACACAUGCAAGUCGAACGAGACCUUCGGGUCUAGUGGCGCACGGGUGCGUAACGCGUGGGAACCUGCCCUUAGGUUCGGAAUAACUCCCCGAAAGGGGUGCUAAUCCCGGAUAAUGUCUUCGGACCAAAGAUUUAUCGCCUUUGGAUGGGCCCGCGUUGGAUGAGCUAGGUGGUAGGGUAAAAGCCUACCAAGGCGACGAUCGAUAGCUGGCCUGAGAGGAUGAUCAGCCACACUGGCACUGAGACACGGCCCAGACUCCUACGCGAGGCAGCAGUGGGGAAUAUUGGAAAAUGGGCGAAAGCAUGAUCCAGCAAUGCCGCGUGAGUGAUGAAGGCCUUAGGGUUGUAAAGCUCUUUUACACGGGAUGAUAAUGACAGUACCGGGAGAAUAAGCUCCGGCUAACUCCGUG
rnacentral:rRNA from 1 species